UGUCUUUUAAAAUAUAAAAAACCAAAAUUUUUUUUCUUUCUUUUCCUCCCUCGACGAACAGAUGAGAACAGAUGAAUCUCUGCUGAUUCUUUCUUUUUCAUAGAUUUCAAUCGAUUCACCUUGGUUUUUCCGGCAAUCUAUCUCCGAUGGACUUACGGGGACGGCGAAGGGCACCGGCAAGCAAGACGAGAGGAGCUAUAGAGUUGGGGCUAAUCGAAGACUGUUCUUGGCCAUGGAUUUAUGUUGAUGAUAUUUCCACUUAACAAAGCUGCCGUUGAUCUCUCUUAGCCAGCCAAGAAGUAGGAUUUGCCUUUCCAUUAUAGUUGCUAUACAUUGAAAACUAACUAGGUGCAAAAACAAACCUAAAGGCAAGGUUCCAGUUCUGUUUGUUCAGUUGACUUCGUGGACUCGAGGAGGCUGCUUGCAGAUCUCAAACCCAAAGGCAAGAUUGUAAAUUCAUGAUCAUGAGCUGGAGGUAAAAUUAUGAUGGCUGGAGGUGAAUUAGCUGAGCUACGCUAUGAAUGCUUAUUGGUGGACAUGUAAGUAUGGCUGGAGGUGAAUUAGCUGAGCUACGCUAUGCUAUACGCUAUGCUAUACGCUAUGUCUUUGAUGAAUGGAACGACCAACGUUAGCAGGAAACAACUCAAUUCCGACAACUCAACAUGUGACUACAAAAUGUUGUAGAGUGCAAAAACAAACCUAAAUGAAGUGGUAAGAACUGCAGGAAUCUACCACAAUUACUGGCUCUUCAUACUCUUUUACUGACAUUAUAGCUGAGUGAAAUUUAUAUGUAUUAAUAAACAAGAGUUUUAAAAAAUAUAUAUUUUAAUAAUUGAGAAACGGUUUUUCUAGUGGAAGGAUAAA